rnacentral:rRNA from 1 species
CCUACGGGAGGCAGCAGUGGGGAAUAUUGGACAAUGGGCGCAAGCCUGAUCCAGCCAUACCGCGUGUGUGAAGAAGGCCUUUUGGUUGUAAAGCACUUUAAGCGAGGAGGAGGCUCUUGAGGAUAAUACCCUUGAUGAGUGGACGUUACUCGCAGAAUAAGCACCGGCUAACUCUGUGCCAGCAGCCGCGGUAAUACAGAGGGUGCGAGCGUUAAUCGGAAUUACUGGGCGUAAAGCGCGCGUAGGCGGCUUGUUAAGUCGGAUGUGAAAUCCCCGGGCUCAACCUGGGCACUGCAUUCGAUACUGGCAAGCUAGAGUAUGGGAGAGGAAGGUAGAAUUCCAGGUGUAGCGGUGAAAUGCGUAGAGAUCUGGAGGAAUACCGAUGGCGAAGGCAGCCUUCUGGCCUAAUACUGACGCUGAGGUGCGAAAGCAUGGGGAGCAAACAGGAUUAGAUACCCUGGUAGUCCAUGCCGUAAACGAUGUCAACUAGCCGUUGGGGACCUUGAGUCUUUAGUGGCGCAGCUAACGCGAUAAGUUGACCGCCUGGGGAGUACGGUGCAAGACUAAAACUUAAAUGAAAUUGACGG